UGUUUUUGGAGUAAAACACGGUGGAAGCUGAAUUAGUGAGGAUGACUCCUGCUCCUGUCAUCUCUAAGCUCCUCACACAUCUUUACCUGCACAUGAGGAAAAUCACUCCUGUAGAAUGCAGUGGUUCAUCAGAACCUCUGGGGAUGUCCUGUGGAUCCUGUGGAUCCUGUGGGUUGCAGGGUGGGUCCUACCAAGACCAGGCUGAUCCUGGACCAUCCCACAGAUGCUCCAUCAGAUCUGGAUGUGGGGAGUGUGGAACCCAGAUGUUCAGAGGGAGAUGAUGCCACAUCUGGUCCAGCUGAUGGAUGGUCUUGAAGUUCUCUGACUGGCCUGGACUGAAGAUGGUCGUCUCACUGGAUUUAAGAUGCACAAUGAGGGACGUCUGCAGAGACUGAGAAAGAGUCUCACCACAUCCUGACAUGAGGAAAAAGACUUUAUUGAAGACUGCAAUGAGAAAAACUAUCAGACAGCAGACGGCUGCAUUCAAGUCUGUAGCUGCUGAAUUCAUGGAUGAAUCAUCUGGCACUAGAGAGGAAGACCAUCAAACAUCCACGUCAGCUGAUGGAGGUCCAAGAGUCUCACCCAACAAACAACCUACAGAGUGAAGACCUCAAAUCUGAUUGGACGGCCUCCUAUUCAGCCACGUGUGAACAAAUGCCUCUAAUUUAGGCUGUUAGAUUGUUCCAGAUAAGACAAGUACAAGAUUCUUCAGAGCCGUUCUACCACGAGCCUGACAGGAAGAACUCCAACAGCUACUGAAUGUUCCUGUGGUCCCCUCAAGGCUACAGGAGGAGCCCUACGAGGACGAGCUGGUCCACCUGAUGGCGGCCAGUCGCUGCGGUUCAAAGCCAACACCGACUACGUGGACUUCUACUGGACCACACGGAGGCCUUCAAACUGGACCAACAAGUUCAGCGACUCCCCGACUCGUGGGUCUGAGGACGCCGCCGAGCCUCGGUCCAGCCGGCCUCCUGUCUGUGGGUGUUUGAGUGCUGAGAGGUUUAUGGAUCCAUGUGAACGUUCUGUGUUGAAACAGCAGCUUUGGACUCAGUAACGCCGGGAAAAACCAAGAGCUCCUUUAUUUGUGACUUCCACUAAAAAAAAACUGAUGAAAAUAAGUUUGCCAGGGUUCUGACUGAUAACAGAUUAUUAAAUAAUGAAAAUAAUCGUUUAAAUAUUCCUUUAAACAAUCCUUUUAGGUCUACAUUUCCUUUACACUGACUUCUUGGUAUAUGUACAAGUAUUUUGGGUGGAAUAUACCAUUAAGCCCAAUGUUCAAGGGUUCUUCUGGGAAUAUACCAUUAAACCAACCUUUUAGGUAAAUGUUCCAGGAUGUUGGGUAGAA
ensembl:lncRNA